GCCCGCCUAGCUCAAUCGGAUAGAGCGUCAGACUCUUAUGGUCGCAGGCGAGCGCACGCGAUUCUAAGCGUAAUCUGAAGGCUGCGAGUUCGACCCUCGCGGUGGGCU
rfam:Phanerochaete carnosa HHB-10118-sp unplaced genomic scaffold PHACAscaffold_296, whole genome shotgun sequence.